CGAACCAUGCCAGGAGGAGCAAAGGUGGAAGGUGGAAGAGAUUGAGAUAGAGAGAAGGAAGAUGAAAUACUGUGUACAUUGGACUGUGUUUCACUGGGCUGUGUACUGAGCACUGCAGGACUAACAAACAACAAGGAUGGGGUUAUUCAGAUGUAUGCAGGGUUGAAUGGCAGAGUAUUACCAUGUGAGCAAGCAGCAAAGAAGAAAAAUAAAAUGCAUUUACACCGUUCCAGCACUCAAAAUGGCCGUGGCUCCACUUCGCUCCUAUCCCUUAGCAGAUGAUGUUACUUCCAGUCCCACUACAAAAAUGUCACAUCCUUUGUUUUCAUUUCCUGUCACCAUUUUGUUUCUGUAUAAAUAACCCUGCGUCCUUGUACCAUGUGUCAGAUGCAUAUUUUGAACACUUUUGUUUCAAUUUUGUUUGACUUGUCCAACGGACAUUAUAUGGGGCAU